rnacentral:rRNA from 1 species
AUUGAACGCUGGCGGCAUGCCUUACACAUGCAAGUCGAACGGUAACGCGGGGCAACCUGGCGACGAGUGGCGAACGGGUGAGUAAUGUAUCGGAACGUGCCCAGUUGUGGGGGAUAACUGCUCGAAAGAGCAGCUAAUACCGCAUACGACCUGGGGGUGAAAGCGGGGGAUCGCAAGACCUCGCGCAAUUGGAGCGGCCGAUAUCAGAUUAGGUAGUUGGUGGGGUAAAGGCCUACCAAGCCUACGAUCUGUAGCUGGUCUGAGAGGACGACCAGCCACACUGGGACUGAGACACGGCCCAGACUCCUACGGGAGGCAGCAGUGGGGAAUUUUGGACAAUGGGGGCAACCCUGAUCCAGCCAUGCCGCGUGCGGGAAGAAGGCCUUCGGGUUGUAAACCGCUUUUGUCAGGGAAGAGAUCCUUUGAACUAAUACUUCGGAGGGAUGACGGUACCUGAAGAAUAAGCACCGGCUAACUACGUGCCAGCCGCCGCCGUAA